AUCGAACGCUGGCGGCAUGCCUAACACAUGCAAGUCGAGCGGAGCGGCGGACGGGUGAGUAAUGCCUAGGAAUCUGCCCGGUAGUGGGGGAUACAGUCGGGAAACGGGCGCUAAUACCGCAUACUAUCAGAUGAGCCUCGGUUGUAUUAGCUAGUUGGUGGGGUAAAGGCCUAGCAAGUCGACGAUGCGUCACUGGUCUGAGAGGAUGAUCAGUCACAUGGGAACUGAGACACGGCCCAGACUCCUACGGGAGGCAGCAGUAGGGAAUAUUGGGCAAUGGGCGAAAGCCUGAUCCAGCCACGCCGCGUGUGUGAAGAAGGUCUUCGGAUUGUAAAGCACUUUAAUUUGGGAGGCGGUAGCAACAGAAUAAGCACCGGCUAACUACGUGCCAGCAGCCGCGGUAAUUC
rnacentral:rRNA from 1 species